AUGCGAAAAAAAGAAAAACACUGUACUGGGUGGAAAUUACUUCCAAUAUCACUGGGAUCUUGGAAAUCGUGUCUUCAAAGGAUGCAAUCUCUGGAACAUGACAAAGGGCAGCAAGAACUGCAAUCGACAGGUUCAAAUAUGCAUCCUGAUUGUUGCCCCCGCUACUGGAUAUGUUUCAUGUUCCCAUACC